rnacentral:rRNA from 1 species
AGAGUUUGAUCCUGGCUCAGAGCGAACGCUGGCGGCGUGCUUAACACAUGCAAGUCGAACGCGCAGCACUCUGUAGCAAUACAGGGUGUGGGCGCGUGGCGAACGGGUGCGUAACACGUGGAUAACCUUCCUUCAGGUGGGGAAUAACCCAGUGAAAAUUGGGCUAAUACCGCAUAAAAAGACGAUGGCACAUGCUGCUGUCUUCAAAGCCGCAAGGCGCCGGAAGAGGGAUCCGCGGCCGAUUAGCUAGUUGGCGAGGUAACGGCUCACCAAGGCAUUGAUCGGUAGCCGGACUGAGAGGUUGGCCGGCCACACUGGAACUGAGACACGGUCCAGACUCCUACGGGAAGCAGCAGUGGGGAAUCUUGCACAAUGGGCGAAAGCCUGAUGCAGCAACGCCGCGUGGGGGAUGAAGCUUCUCGGAGUGUAAACCCCUUUCGACCCGGAAGAAUGCCCGCAAGGGUUUGACGGUACGGGUAUAAGAAGCCCCGGCUAACUACGUGCCAGCAGCCGCGGUAAUACGUAGGGGGCCAGCGUUGCUCGGAAUUACUGGGCGUAAAGGGUCCGUAGGCGGUGUGGCAAGUCGGGAGUGAAAUCUCUGGGCUUAACCCAGAGGCUGCUUCCGAAACUGCUGUGCUAGAGUGUGAGAGAGGCGAGUGGAAUUGCGGGUGUAGCGGUGAAAUGCGUAGAUAUCCGCAGGAACAUCCGAGGCGAAAGCGGCUCGCUGGAUCACAACUGACGCUGAGGGACGAAAGCUAGGGGAGCAAACAGGAUUAGAUACCCCCGUAGUCC